rnacentral:tRNA from 2 species
GGCCGAGAUAGCUCAGUCGGUAGAGCA